rnacentral:lncRNA from 1 species
GAAACUUGUUUCUCUAUUCAACUUUUGUCCUAAAGAGGUUUUUUUUAUUUUUAUGCCCCACCUACGAUAGUAGAGGGACAUUAUGUUUUCUGGUCUGUGCGUCCGUUCGUCCGUCUGUCUGUUCGGUCGUACGUCUGUUCGUUCGUCCGUCUGUCCCGCUUCAGGUUAAAGUUUUUGGUCAAGGUAGUUUUUGAUGAUGUUGAAGUCCAAUCAACUUGAAACUUAGUACACAUGUUCCUUAUGUAAGUUAUGAUAUGAUCUAUCUAAUUUGAAAGCCAAAUUAAACUUUUGACCCCAAUUUCACGGUCCACUGAACAUAGAAAAUGAAAGUGCAUGUUUCAGGUUAAAGUUUUUGGUAAAGGUAGUUUUUGAUGAAGUUGAAGUCCAAUCAACUUGAUACUUAGUACACAUGUUCCCUAUGAUAUUAUCUUUCUAAUUUUAAUGCCUAAUUAUAUUUUUUAUCCAAUUUCACAGUCCAUUGAACAUGGUAAAUGAUAGUGCGAGUGGGGCAUCCGUGU